rnacentral:sRNA from 1 species
AUUCUGUCCAUGCGGGGAAGGAUGAGAAGCUUCGACCAAGGUUCGACUCGAGCGCCAGCGAGAGAGCGUUGCCGCAGGCAACGACCCGAAGGGCGAAGCGCGCAGCGCUGAGUAAUCCUUCCCCCACCACCA